rnacentral:lncRNA from 1 species
CAGGCAAACAAAUACCUGUUUAGCAAACAAGCACUGUCCAAGCUAGAGAGUAAAGCUGGUCGUGAUUGCAUUUGAGGUUCGGGUUAGGCCAGCACAUCUGUAGGCCCCAUGCACAGCACAGCACGUGAAUUAUUUCUGUUUUACAGGAAUACCAUCUGCAAAGAGGCUGUGACUUGGGUAAGAGGAGGACCCUUACCCUUCUCCAGUCUGAUGCUGCGUAGAUUUCCUGACUGUUAUGAGCACUGCUGGGAAGCAAUACUGCGUAACACCUGUUUAAAGCACGGUGAAUGGAAAAAGCCCUCCGUUUCCCACAGCCCAAGCUCACCUUGUUGCCACCUACACCAGGCUGCUCCUGCAUUGCUUUCCUUUGUUCUGUUUUCCUCAGUGCAAUGAACCCUUACGUUAUGAGUUUCUGCUGUAGUUUUAACCUCUAAUAUGCAACCAUUACAGCUUAUCUUGUCUCCUAAAUUACUCUAAAAUCCAAUUAUAAAAUCCUCUUUCCCUCAAUAGCACACAACUUGCC